ensembl:misc_RNA Metazoa_SRP Metazoan signal recognition particle RNA
GCCGGGCGUGGCGGCGUGCGCCUGUAAUCCCAGCUACUCGGGAGGCUGAGACAGGAGAAUCGCUUGAACCCGGGAGGCGGAGGUUGCAGUGAGCCGAGAUCGUGCCAUUGCACUCCAGCCUGGGCGACAGAGCGAGACUCCGUCUCAA